UAAUGCACUAGAUUUUAAAAUGCUAUAUUAAAUCUGAGGAAAUGGAUUAAAUUGCAUUUUGAAAGUUGCACUGCCAAACCUGUAUAUGUUGCACUGCCAAACCCUCAGAUAUGCUGAGUAUAUAAUUAUUAUGAACUUUAGACUUUGUCUUAUUCCAGAUGAAAAUAUUCCUUAACGUAGAGCAUCAGAAAAGAAGAAAAAAAAAAGUUAGAAGCAAGAGAAUUCUAAUUUCCAGUUGUUCAGAGCACUUUUUUAUAGUAGUUGAUAAUAUUUCAUAUUUCAUCAUUACAAUAAUUUAGUUGCAUAUUCUAUGUUUCAAUUUAUUUAACUAUGAAUAGUUGCUUAUAAAGUUUCCUACCUAUACGAAUGAAGCUCCUUUUUAAAAAAGGGUUGGUUUUUUUUCACAUCUAAGAUAAUUUGAAAGUUCAAAAUGCACAUUUUUCAGCUUGCUGGUCUGCUUUUUAACAGUUUGUGACUUUAUUUAUUUAUUUAUUAAAUUUUUACCAGCCCCCAGGUGAUAGUGAGGUCAGUUUUUAUAAUGGCACUGUCGGUCGAACAGGAGUCCUCUUCCAUGCCCUUUGAAGAGAACAGAUUCUAUUUUGUCACCUUGAGCAGGUAUAGGAACAAGGCGCGAAGCUGAAUUUCUUCGGUCGUUUGGACAUUCCAAGAAAGCCAGUGGGAUUUUUUUGGCUGCUGAGGAAUGUGGGCUCAUUGCCUUCAUGUCUCAAGGUUCCAUCCGCCCGCAAAAUCAUCAGGAAUGACUCAGUUCUUCCCUGUGUGCUCCGUCCGUGGCAAUCCGGCUUGGAGAAACGCGAGCAGCCGAAGCAAAGCCGCUCUAAGCAGAAACGACUGUGACUCACAUCGCAGGCGAGAUGAGCCACCCUGUGGCAAUAUCCUGCAAUUUGCCUUUAUUGAGGGCGGAAGGACGACAAAACUAGUUGCUGAAUGUGUAAAGCAGUGGAAAGUAUUUGCUGGCUUUUUUUAA
rnacentral:lncRNA from 1 species